AUUCAGCUGACGAGUCCCAAAUAGGACGAAACGCUAGUCCUGGAU
rnacentral:hammerhead_ribozyme from 1 species